UACGAAGGGGGCUAGCGUUGUUCGGAAUCACUGGGCGUAAAGCGCACGUAGGCGGAUCUUUAAGUCAGGGGUGAAAUCCCGAGGCUCAACCUCGGAACUGCCUUUGAUACUGGCGAUCUCGAGUCCGGGAGAGGUGAGUGGAACUGCGAGUGUAGAGGUGAAAUUCGUAGAUAUUGGGAGGAACACCAGUGGCGAAGGCGGCUCACUGGACUGGUACUGACGCUGAUGCGCGAAAGCGUGGGGAGCAAACGGG
rnacentral:rRNA from 1 species